rnacentral:rRNA from 1 species
UACUCGAGUGGCGAACGGGUGAGUAACACGUGGGUGAUCUGCCCUGCACUUCGGGAUAAGCCUGGGAAACUGGGUCUAAUACCGGAUAGGAGCCAUUUUUAGUGUGAUGGUUGGAAAGUUUUUUCGGUGUAGGAUGAGCUCGCGGCCUAUCAGCUUGUUGGUGGGUAAUGGCCUACCAAGGCGGCGACGGGUAGCCGGCCUGAGAGGGUGGACGGCCACAUUGGGACUGAGAUACGGCCCAGACUCCUACGGGAGGCAGCAGUGGGGAAUAUUGCACAAUGGGCGCAAGCCUGAUGCAGCGACGCCGCGUGGGGGAUGACGGCCUUCGGGUUGUAAACUCCUUUCGCUAGGGACGAAGCUUUUUGUGACGGUACCUAGAUAAGAAGCACCGGCUAACUACGUGCCAGCAGCCGCGGUAAUACGUAGGGUGCGAGCGUUGUCCGGAAUUACUGGGCGUAAAGGGCUCGUAGGUGGUUUGUCGCGUCGUCUGUGAAAUUCCGGGGCUUAACUCCGGGCGUGCAGGCGAUACGGGCAUAACUUGAGUACUGUAGGGGUAACUGGAAUUCCUGGUGUAGCGGUGAAAUGCGCAGAUAUCAGGAGGAACACCGAUGGCGAAGGCAGGUUACUGGGCAGUUACUGACGCUGAGGAGCGAAAG